rnacentral:rRNA from 1 species
AGAGUUUGAUCAUGGCUCAGAACGAACGCUGGCGGCAUGCCUAACACAUGCAAGUCGAACGCGUGGCUUCGGCCACGAGUGGCGCACGGGUGAGUAACGCGUGGGAACCUGCCCAUUGGUACGGAACAACCGCGGGAAACUGCGGCUAAUACCGUAUACGCCCUGAGGGGGAAAGAUUCAUCGCCGAUGGAGGGGCCCGCGUCGGAUUAGGUAGUUGGUGGGGUAACGGCCUACCAAGCCGACGAUCCGUAGCUGGUCUGAGAGGAUGAUCAGCCACACUGGGACUGAGACACGGCCCAGACUCCUACGGGAGGCAGCAGUGGGGAAUAUUGGACAAUGGGCGCAAGCCUGAUCCAGCAAUGCCGCGUGAGUGAAGAAGGCCUUAGGGUUGUAAAGCUCUUUCGGCGGGGACGAUGAUGACGGUACCCGCAGAAGAAGCCCCGGCUAACUCCGUGCCAGCAGCCGCGGUAAUACGGAGGGGGCUAGCGUUGUUCGGAAUUACUGGGCGUAAAGGGCGCGUAGGCGGUUCAUCAAGUCGGGCGUGAAAGGCCUGGGCUCAACCCGGGAAUGGCGCUCGAGACUGGUGGGCUUGGAGUCCGGGAGAGGAUGGUGGAAUUCCCAGUGUAGAGGUGAAAUUCGUAGAUAUUGGGAAGAACACCGGUGGCGAAGGCGGCCAUCUGGACCGGUACUGACGCUGAGGCGCGAAAGCGUGGGGAGCAAACAGGAUUAGAUACCCUAGUAGUCC